UACGGAGGGGGCUAGCGUUGUUCGGAAUUACUGGGCGUAAAGCGCACGUAGGCGGCUUUGUAAGUUAGAGGUGAAAGCCCGGGGCUCAACUCCGGAAUUGCCUUUAAGACUGCAUCGCUAGAAUUGUGGAGAGGUAAGUGGAACUCCGAGUGUAGAGGUGAAAUUCGUAGAUAUUCGGAAGAACACCAGUGGCGAAGGCGGCUCACUGGCCCGGUACUGACGCUGA
rnacentral:rRNA from 1 species